rnacentral:rRNA from 1 species
AUUGAACGCUGGCGGCAUGCCUUACACAUGCAAGUCGAACGGUAACAGGUCUUCGGAUGCUGACGAGUGGCGAACGGGUGAGUAAUACAUCGGAACGUGCCCGAGAGUGGGGGAUAACGAAGCGAAAGCUUUGCUAAUACCGCAUACGAUCUUAGGAUGAAAGCAGGGGACCGCAAGGCCUUGCGCUCACGGAGCGGCCGAUGGCAGAUUAGGUAGUUGGUGGGAUAAAAGCUUACCAAGCCGACGAUCUGUAGCUGGUCUGAGAGGACGACCAGCCACACUGGGACUGAGACACGGCCCAGACUCCUACGGGAGGCAGCAGUGGGGAAUUUUGGACAAUGGGCGCAAGCCUGAUCCAGCCAUGCCGCGUGCAGGAUGAAGGCCUUCGGGUUGUAAACUGCUUUUGUACGGAACGAAAAGACUCUGGUUAAUACCUGGGGUCCAUGACGGUACCGUAAGAAUAAGCACCGGCUAACUACGUGCCAGCCGCCGCUGUAAGAC